AGCCAACCAUUGGCGCUUAUUAAAAAUUGGCGGUCGAUUGGUUCGGCUCGAACCGUGGGCGCGCCAACACGCGGCCUAGCCAAAUAUUGGCGGCCUGUCUUUCCCCAUUCGCCAACUCCUGCCCCCACCGCUCUCCCCUCACGGUUCGCCCCACCAGAUCCAACCCUGUCCUCCUCCUUCGCCCUAAUUCCUGCCCCUGCGCCGCCAGCGACCAGAAAAGCUCAAGGACCUCGUAAAUCUCCUACUCCGGCGGGAAGUCCUCGGCCACCUGCCGAGCUGGGCCAGAUCCACCGGAGCAGUCAAGAAAAUAAAAUUUAACUACCUUACUCACUCCAUCAAGUUUUAUCAUCUCCUGGGAGAACUGUUUAGUGACUCGUCUCAUGCAGAUGGCUCACUAGCUAUUGAUGUGAAUGAUGCAACUGAGAAUGUGGAAUCUGAUGGUAGUAGUGAAACGAGCAACCACACAUCCACUGCCGAACAAGGUCUUAGUGAUUCCGACAUGAUUGCACCCAACAGUCCAGCAGAAGGCAAUAGCUCAAAUCUGAAGCGCAAGCAUGUUAAAGCACCACAUAAGAAGAAACCAAAGGUCAAGGCGCGUCGAGCCAGCGUGUUAGAUGAUGAUGUGGCAGCGAGCAUUGUGAGUCUUGCUGAAACUGUGAAAUCUGCUGCACCUAUUCAGCCAAUAGCAGUUACAGACCCCAAUGCCAAUCUUCGGAAACACAUUGAGUCUCUAACUAUCCCAGCAAAUGAGAAGAUUCAGUUAGCAACCUAUCUUGCUAAGCCAGAACAAGAAAUUUUCCAUGGUUUCCUGAACUGUGCAAGCGUCCAGACUUUUAAUGCUUGGGUCCUUGAUUAUUUCGCCCACAAGUACGACGGCAACGAUCGCGCAGCUGCUGAUCCAUCAAUCUGAAUGACAUGUUUGGUGGCUUUCUUUUGGCAAGUGCUUUUGUAGUCUACCCAUCUUUUCAUGCACUUAUGCUAAGUGGAAUUCCUGUGCUCUAAUGGUGUUUAGAGGGUCUUGCCUUUUGGAAUGCAUUGGUGUAGCACAAAUCUGAAUUAAGCUAGUUUGUAAGAAAUUUCCUGAUGCUUGAUGACCUUGUGCAUGCUACGUUGCAAUAUUGCAGUGGUAUGAUGGUGCUUCUAAAUUAGUAAAUUAUGCCCAUGAUAUCACAUGGCGUGUAAAUUA